rnacentral:rRNA from 1 species
CAAUUCCUACGGGGGGCAGCAGUGGGGGAUAUUGCACAAUGGGGGGAACCCUGAUGCAGCGACGCCGCGUGGGUGAAGGAGUGCUUCGGCAUGUAAAGCCCUAUCGGCAGGGAAGAAGCAAGACGGUACCUGACUAAGAAGCCCCGGCUAACUACGUGCCAGCAGCCGCGGUAAUACGUAGGGGGCGAGCGUUAUCCGGAUUCACUGGGUGUAAAGGGAGCGUAGACGGCCAUGCAAGCCAGGGGUGAAAGCCCGGGGCCCAAACCCGGGACUGCCCUUGGAAAGGCAUGGGUGGAGUGCGGGGG